GAGAGGGCUAACUCUACUCUGUUUGCUGGGAUUCAUUCUUGCAGCGUCGCUGCAUGAAGGAGGCACAGUGCCGCUUCAAAACCAGAAAAGCCCCCCAUCGUAUAACACAGGUGGGUGGAUCCCUCUGGUAGUCACAGGUGGUUUUCCAACUCGACCAACUGCUGGAAAUGGGGUCCAGGGGGAGCCUAAAUGAAAGAAGACUGGCACCAGACAUGCUCAACAGAUGAAAGCAUGUCGUGAAUCCUGACGGAGGCAAAUGACCAUCAUUCACUGGUGUUACAGUCUUCUUCAAAUAAACAUUGAAACGUC